AUAACAAUACCGGGUUCUAUGAAUCUGGUAAUUGGAAUGAGUACAAUCUAAAUCCCGUAACGAGGAUCCAUUGGAGGGCAAGUCUGGUGCCAACAGUCGCGGUAAAUCCAUCUUCAG
rnacentral:rRNA from 1 species